rnacentral:sRNA from 2 species
UUUUGCCCCUGAUGGCAAUGGAAAGCCUUUUGAGAGAAAAUGUAUUUUUUCUUGAAGCAGAAAAGCGACCAAAGGAAGCUCUUUCUGGUUUGUAGAAAAAAGCAUUUUGCGAAAAAAGCUUGUAAUGUACAGCAGGAAUUGGC